AGAUUGAACGCUGGCGGCAUGCUUUACACAUGCAAGUCGAGCGGCAGCGCGGGGGCAACCCUGGCGGCGAGCGGCGAACGGGUGAGGAAUACAUCGGAACGUACCCCGGAGUGGGGGAUAACGCCGCGAAAGCGGCGCUAAUACCGCAUAUGCUCUGAGGAGGAAAGUGGGGGACUCGCAAGGGCCUCACGCUCUGGGGAGCGGCCGAUGUCCGAUUAGCUAGUUGGUGGGUAAAGGCCCACCAAGGCGACGAUCGGUAGCUGGUCUGAGAGGAUGAUCAGCCACACUGGGACUGAGACACGGCCCAGACUCCUACGGGAGGCAGCAGUGGGGAAUUUUGGACAAUGGGGGCAACCUGAUCCAGCCAUGCCGCGUGCGGGAAGAGGCCUUCGGUGUAACCGCUUUAGUACGGAAGAAAGUUAUCCUAACAGGAUGACUGUGACGGUACCGCGGAAUAAGCACCGACUAACUACGUGCCAGCAGCCG
rnacentral:rRNA from 1 species